rnacentral:tRNA from 1 species
UGGAGAGUAGCUCAGUGGCAGAGCACUUGCCUAGCACAUAUGAGGUUCUGGGUUCAAUACCCAGCACUAUAA